GACGAACGCUGGCGGCGUGCUUAACACAUGCAAGUCGAACGGAAAGGCCCUGCUUGCGGGGUGCUCGAGUGGCGAACGGGUGAGUAACACGUGGGUGAUCUGCCCCUUACUUUGGGAUAAGCCUGGGAAACUGGGUCUAAUACUGGAUAGGACCAUGCUGUAGGUGGUGUGGUGGAAAGAUUAGUUUCGGUAAGGGAUGAGCUCGCGGCCUAUCAGCUUGUUGGUGGGGUAAUGGCCUACCAAGGCGUCGACGGGUAGCCGGCCUGAGAGGGUGGACGGCCACAUUGGGACUGAGAUACGGCCCAGAAUCCUACGGGAGGCAGCAGUGGGGAAUAUUGCACAAUGGGCGCAAGCCUGAUGCAGCGACGCCGCGUGGGGGAUGACGGCCUUCGGGUUGUAAACUCCUUUCAGCCAUGACGAAGCCCUUGUGGUGACGGUAGUGGUAGAAGAAGCACCGGCUAACUACGUG
rnacentral:rRNA from 1 species